rnacentral:misc_RNA from 1 species
UGGUUCUGGCAUCGAUGAAGAACGCAGCGAAAUGCGAUAAGUAAUGUGAAUUGCAGAAUUCAGUGAAUCAUCGAAUCUUUGAACGCACAUUGCACCUUAGAGUAUUCUUUAAGGUAUACCUGUUUGAGCGUCGUUUAACGACAUAAAGCUUCGCUUUGUAUUGGAUUUUGGUGUUUUUGAUAAGACCAACUUCCGAAACUUAGAGGCAUAGUUUAGUUUGACUGAUACACAGCGAAAAUGUGUUGAGAAUAACGAAACUGUUUGCCAAAUCAUUAAAUUGAAGAUUUCUUCGAUUUUUUUUUGUUCGACCUCAAAUCAAGUAAGACUACCCGCUGA